ensembl:lncRNA
AUGAUUAGGUCACCAAGGAGGCACGAGGGACCUCCCAAGAGGCCAGAGCAAACAGCCAUCUCCACCACCAGUCUGGCAUUUGAGGCAGAGGACGGAGGAUGUGCAAUCAGACAAAACACAUUUCUGAGAAAGCCCAGGGUGAAGGCUUGGUGUGGUUUCUUGAUGAAAUGAGAGACAAUGAAUCUUUAUAAGAUGGCGGAUUGAACAAACGGAUUGUAGGAGACCAGACACUGACAAGAAGGACAAUCUCCUGAUGAAUGCCCUCAAGGAAGCCUGCUGUACUCUGUACAGUGUCACUGCCUUGUGUACGGGCCAGCUGAUUCCAAUCUCCACUGUCACCGUUGACUGCACCGUGAGGCUGGAUCGGCACAUCCUCUCACUGCGAGCCCUCACGUCCACUUGCACACUGUCAGAAAUCAAAGCUGGUGGAAGUCCCACAGGAAUUCAGGCCAACCUCUUACAGCUCUCUCUUUCUAUCCUGCUUUCUUCUCUUCCCCUGCAAACAUAUUUAUAUCUCUUGUCCACUAAAACAGUAACAAAUCUAACAAAACAAAAUAACUUUUCUCUUAUCCUACUAUCUUACUGUAGUCACGCUGCUUUCCUCUUUCCUUUUGGUGUCAUUUGUACGCAGAGUACUCUAUGCUAUCUGAUACAGUUUCUCAACUGACAUCUUUCUUUUUCAUACCUUUUGCUGGGACCACCCUACCCAAAUUGCGUCCUCAGAAUGCUCACAGUGGCUGCUCAGCUGGAAAAUCCAAUACCUAUUUUGUAAGAAUUGACUUCCUCGCCCUCUUUGCAGCGUUUGACCUUGUUAUAUGUUAUUUUAAGUUGUACGUCUUUUUAUUUUCUCUUUUCUGAUGCUUUGACAUCUUGGGGCUUUGCUGACCCUGGAGGGACUGUCUCUCCCAGGGCUAGCCAAUUCCUAGAGAU